UGGGGAAUAUUGGACAAUGGGCGCAAGCCUGAUCCAGCCAUGCCGCGUGAGUGAUGAAGGCCCUAGGGUUGUAAAGCUCUUUCACCGGUGAAGAUAAUGACGGUAACCGGAGAAGAAGCCCCGGCUAACUUCGUGCCAGCAGCCGCGGUAAUACGAAGGGGGCUAGCGUUGUUCGGAUUUACUGGGCGUAAAGCGCACGUAGGCGGACUUUUAAGUCAGGGGUGAAAUCCCGGGGCUCAACCCCGGAACUGCCUUUGAUACUGGAAGUCUUGAGUAUGGGAGAGGUGAGUGGAAUUCCGAGUGUAGAGGUGAAAUUCGUAGAUAUUCGGAGGAACACCAGUGGCGAAGGCGGCUCACUGGACCAUUACUGACGCUGAGGUGCGAAAGCGUGGGGGGCAAACAGG
rnacentral:rRNA from 1 species